rnacentral:rRNA from 1 species
AGAGUUUGAUCCUGGCUCAGGAUGAACGCUAGCUACAGGCUUAACACAUGCAAGUCGAGGGGAAACGAUAGAGAAAGCUUGCUUUUUCUAGGCGUCGACCGGCGCACGGGUGAGUAACGCGUAUCCAACCUGCCCACCACUUGGGAAUAACCUUGCGAAAGUAAGACUAAUACCCAAUGAUAUCUCUAGAAGACAUCUGAAGGAGAUUAAAGAUUUAUCGGUGAUGGAUGGGGAUGCGUCUGAUUAGCUUGUUGGCGGGGUAACGGCUCACCAAGGCGACGAUCAGUAGGGGUUCUGAGAGGAAGGUCCCCCACAUUGGAACUGAGACACGGUCCAAACUCCUACGGGAGGCAGCAGUGAGGAAUAUUGGUCAAUGGGCGAGAGCCUGAAUCAGCCAAGUAGCGUGCAGGAAGACGGCCCUAUGGGUUGUAAACUGCUUUUAUAAGGGAAUAAAGUGAGUCUCGUGAGACUUUUUGCAUGUACCUUAUGAAUAAGGACCGGCUAAUUCCGUGCCAGCAGCCGCGGUAAUACGGAAGGUCCGGGCGUUAUCCGGAUUUAUUGGGUUUAAAGGGAGCGUAGGCCGGAGAUUAAGCGUGUUGUGAAAUGUAGACGCUCAACGUCUGCACUGCAGCGCGAACUGGUUUCCUUGAGUACGCACAAAGUGGGCGGAAUUCGUGGUGUAGCGGUGAAAUGCUUAGAUAUCACGAAGAACUCCGAUUGCGAAGGCAGCUCACUGGAGCGCAACUGACGCUGAAGCUCGAAAGUGCGGGUAUCGAACAGGAUUAGAUACCCUGGUAGUCCGCACGGUAAACGAUGGAUGCCCGCUGUUGGUCUGAAUAGGUCAGCGGCCAAGCGAAAGCAUUAAGCAUCCCACCUGGGGAGUACGCCGGCAACGGUGAA